rnacentral:lncRNA from 1 species
CUAUUUUUUUUCUUCGAGAUCUAGAUCUAAAGAUGUUUGUAGGUACCGAUGAAGCUGCAUACGUGUCUGGCCUCUAUAGAUAUCCACAUGGGGCUGAUGUAAAUUAGGAGCAUCCGAGAUCAUCGAUGUGCUAACUCUCUUUCAGAUCUCGCUCCUUUGAUUUAGAUCUGAUCUCCUUCUUUGACUCUUCGCAAGAUUGGAGGAAG